rnacentral:sRNA from 1 species
GGUGCAGCAAUGUGUGGAACGCAACUUCGUCCUGGUGCUACGAUCGGCAAAUCCUUCGAAUUAAAUUAAGAAAAUGUUCAGCGUCUGCAAGUGGUCCAUUCCACUUUAAAUGGAAAUUCUCAGCCAGCGUUUGCUCUUGCUGCUGCUCGUAGAAGAUAAUGGAAUCCCCACCUAUGGAUAUCCACCGCCUCGACUAAUAAGAACAAUUUGCAAAGGCCGAGCCGGUGUACACAACCGUGACGACUGAUGAUCUGGCCAUAAUCGUAUGGGACAAUGUGACAAGUAAGCAAGAAAAGCUAUGCGCCUAAUUCGAACUAAAGUAAGUAAAAUAUAAAAAUAAAUAAAAUUGCGAGCACGCUGAUUAUGUUAUUUAUUGUUCUAUUAAUCUGUUAAUUUGGAUUUCUAAAAUUGAUUUGUAAUUCUGUUAAUCUAGAUCGAUGUCAAUCAAUUGCAUUUGUGGAUGAUCAAUGGCCAUAUGGGCGAUUGAGUUUCGGUGUUAAAGACCCCAUUCGAAGCGAUUUCGAUUUAAUCUUGGAUUGGAUUUAGUUUUCUAACUUUCCUUGAUGAAAUCCAAUAUUAUUUAAUCAGCCAAAAUAUCUUCAACGGCUCAGGUA